UGCAAAUCGCAGGGUGUUUUGCCGCUGUACUUAAGUUGAUGAACAAAAUAUUUAUUAUGACGUAGACCCUCACGCAGACUUUCUCCAAGCCACCGCCCUUCCCUGGCCACGUGGGCAAGGGGCGGGGCGGUGGAAAAGAGGAACAGAAGCUGGCUGACGGUGCUGCCCCUCCUAGCAGCCUUCACUCUUGGCACAAACCUGCAACCAGACCAGGAUUCUGAAGAUGGAAAAAUCUGAUACAGCCCCUUGCUUCUGCAUCCUUUCAUCCCUCAAAACCUCCACUGACGUGUGGGGUGCUGAGAGACGGUCCUCCUGUGACUUCGCCCCCAGCUGCUGCCCCUUUGCAUUUCCUGUGCUGAUCCAAGUCACCCACUUUUUUUCUGCCUUCCACCUCCCAUUCCCUUGAUGGGAAUCCCUGGAUUCCUCUGCUGCUGCUAUACCUCAGAAUAUUAGAGAACCAAAUGAGGCUCUUGAACGAAGGGUGGUGGGGAGAAGGAAAGGGGACAAUGGGAUUUAAAACUUGUGGUGCCCCACUCUUCCUGCUGCAAGAGACCUUGGAAGGAUUCCUUGCCCCAAGAGACUGAGGCGCAUGGAAAGUAGGUGGGGUUGGGGGUGCUUGGCAGCUUUUAGGACUUCUAGAACAAGGCUUCUGGGCCACCUUCCUAGCAGGUGUAUGCCGCUUUGUUCCAAAUUAACUUCCUGGCUCACAAUAUCCUCACUAUUUCCAGAGUAGUGGCCAAGACAUCUUUUGUUUUAUUUUAUUUUUUUUCCAAGACAACUUUUAAAGCUGAGGCCGGAAGGGUGUGUGUGCCGAGGGGAGGAGGGCUAAGUGUCACUUUGGAAAACUGGGGCCCCCACCUAAGGACUGCUGCCUCUGUACAGACUCAAAAUCAAUAAACAGCAGCUCGUUAACCCUUA